UACGUAGGCAGCGAGCGUUGUUCGGAAUUACUGGGCGUAAAGAGUGUGUAGGCGGUGCUCUAAGUUCGGUGUGAAAUCUCCUGCUUAACUGGGAGGGUGCGCCGGAAACUGGAGUGCUUGAGCGUGGGAGAGGAAAGCGGAAUUCCUGGUGUAGCGGUGAAAUGCGUAGAUAUCUGGAGGAACACCGGUGGCGAAGGCGGCCAACUGGACGAACACUGACGCUGAGACUCGAAAAGCGUGGGGAGCAAACAGG
rnacentral:rRNA from 1 species